rnacentral:rRNA from 1 species
AUUGAACGCUGGCGGCGUGCUUAACACAUGCAAGUCGAUCGGUAACGCGGGGGCAACCCUGGCGACGAGAGGCGGACGGGUGAGGAACGCUUGGGAAUCUGCCUAUCAGCGGGGGACAACCCGGGGAAACUCGGGCUAAUACCGCAUACGCUCUACGGAGGAAAGCCGGGGACCGCAAGGCCUGGCACUGAUAGAUGAGCCCAAGUCGGAUUAGCUAGUUGGCGGGGUAACGGCCCACCAAGGCGACGAUCCGUAGCUGGUCUGAGAGGACGAUCAGCCACACUGGGACUGAGACACGGCCCAGACUCCUACGGGAGGCAGCAGUGGGGAAUAUUGGACAAUGGGGGAAACCCUGAUCCAGCGACGCCGCGUGGGUGAAGAAGGCCUGCGGGUUGUAAAGCCCUUUCGGUAGGGACGAAAGCUCUCGACCUAACACGUCGGGAGGUUGACUUAACCUACAAAAGAAGCACCGGCUAACUCUGUGCCAGCCGCCGCCGUAAAAC